rnacentral:tmRNA from 1 species
GGGGAUGUUCUGGAUUUGACAGGAUGAUUGUUUAAAUCAGGCUGCGGGUUCGAGCGCUGUUCUCGGUUAUCAACGAGCAAACAAAUUAAACGCUAAAAAUAACGUUGUAGAUGCAACUGCAGCAUUCGCUGCACGUAGAGCUCCAGAAGCUCUUGCUGCCUAAUUACGCAGUAUGCUACCCGAUAGUAUUCCAACUUGCCGAUGCUAUUGGGCCACCAUGCAAGUACAGUACCUAGAUAGUGGUAUAGGUAUCAAGUUAACCACAAAAGGUUUGUUCUUCCGCAAAAAGAACUUUGUUUGCGAUAUCGGUUAUGUUUCUUUCCGGUCGUAGACAAGAUAAUAAGGAACUAUAUUCGUAGACGCUUGCUUUAUUCCAUUUUGGACGUGGGUUCGACUCCCACCAUCUCCA